rnacentral:rRNA from 1 species
AUACGUAGGUGGCGAGCGUUGUCCGGAUUUACUGGGUGUAAAGGGCGAGUAGGCGGGAAUUCAAGUCAGAUGUGAAAUACCGAGGCUUAACUUCGGAGCUGCAUUUGAAACUGGAUUUCUUGAGUGAUGGAGAGGCAGGCGGAAUUCCCGGUGUAGCGGUGAAAUGCAUAGAGAUCGGGAGGAACACCAGUGGCGAAGGCGGCCUGCUGGACAUUAACUGACGCUGAGGCGCGAAAGUGUGGGGAGCAAACAGGAUUAGAUACCCUGGUAGUCCACACCGUAAACGAUGGAUACUAGGUGUGGGGGGUUUGACCCCCUCCGUGCCGGAGUUAACACAAUAAGUAUCCCACCUGGGGAGUACGAUCGCAGGAUUGAAACUCAAAUGAAUUGACGGGG